rnacentral:pre_miRNA from 1 species
AUAUAGGAAAAUCUGUUUUUAAGUAAGGGUAAAUUACUCUAAUUUAAAAAAAAAAAAGGAAUUCUAGAUAGUUUUCCCUUCAAGUCAGGCAUCUUGU